AAAAACAAGUUGAACAAAAUUUAAUGAUUGUUGCUCCUGUCGUCGUCGACAGUCGGUGUUAAAAAACAAAGCAAAAUAAUGUUGCUCCCGGUACCGCGCAUCAACUGACUUCGCGAACCAGCCUUUGUCGGGGACGAUCCAAUAUAGCAAUCCCAUCAUUCCAGCAACACCAUCAUCAAAACUUCUCCGAAAUCUACAAGUUCCUUCGGAAGCUGGGAAAACGUUUGGCAGCUGAUUGAUACGAAACAGUGCGAAAAGGUGUGACACAGCUGAUGAUCAACACACCGAAUUUCGCUCCCUGUGGCGGGGCGCAUAAAUGGUAAUGAGAGCUCGAUCGUGGCUUGGAUCGAUCGUAAUUUAUAAAUAAAAUCUUUGGGAGCUCCGAACGACAAAAAUGAUUCGAGGAACAUCCGAUGAACGUACUGGAUGGGUAUCCCUGCGUCAAAAAGGAUCGAGACUCUGUCGACUCCGGCAAUCGACGAUGUGAAAUCGGCAAAUCCUUCCUUUUGUGAGAUUCAACGGAUGGGGACCGUCUGUAUUUCCUAUAACGCCAACGUAGUCAGAGAUGGUUGUCGCAAAUUUGGAACGCGGACGAUCAUGGAAUUAGUUUUUGUUGAUGUUCUCUCGAUGCGAAGUUCCCGCCGGAGGGAACCGAUAAGAAAGAUAAGCGAACAAAACAGGUUUAGUUUUUACUAUAAAAGAAAAUCGCUUGUGAAUUAUUUGUUUUGACAUAUUACAAAAUAAAGAACAAUAUUCUAUUUCUUCAUUAUUAUUAUGAAUUAU